UACUGGGUUGACCCCAACCAGGGCUGUGCUCGGGACGCCUUCAGGGUGUUCUGCAACUUCACAGCGGGAGGAGAGACCUGUGUGCUGCCUCGGGAUGACGUCACACAGUUCUCCUACGUGGACUCGGAGGGCUCCCCAGUAGGCGUGGUCCAGCUCACCUUCCUGAGGCUGCUCAGCGUCUCCGCCCACCAGGACGUGUCCUACCCGUGCUCUGGGGCGGCCCCGGAAGGCCAGCUGAAGCUCAAGGGAGCCAAUGAGGAUGAGCUGAGCCCGGACACCAGCCCCUAUGUCAAGGAAUUCAGACAGGGCUGUCAGACACAGCAAGGCCGGAGGGUGCUGGAGGUGCGGACACCUGUGCUGGAGCAGCUGCCAGUGCUGGACGCCUCCUUC